rnacentral:lncRNA from 1 species
UUACAGUUCCCCUUACUGUAAUGUUUGAACCAACCGCACCAGAGGAGUUUCCCAGGACAACAGGUUUAUAUGACCCUUGUUGUAGUCUAGAUUCAGAUGAAGCCUGAGAAGUUACAGUUCCCCUUACUGUAAUGUUUGAACCAACCGCACCAGAAGAGUUUCCCAAGACAACAGGUUUAUAUGACCCAUGUUGUUGUCUAGAUUCAGAUGAAACCUGAGAAGUUACAGUUCCCCUUACUGUAAUGUUUGAACCAACCGCACCAGAGGAGUUUCCCAAGACAACAGGUUUAUAUGAUCCAUGGAGUUGUCUAGAUUCAGAUGAAGUCUGAGGAGUUAUCGGUCCCUGAGGUUUUUUCUUUGGAAAGUAACCGAGGAGCCCGCAGUGAUAAUCCCUGUCAAAGGAUGUGUGUUAAGUGAGGAAAUAUAUAUAAACAGCUGAUUAUGAAGAACUUAGAUCUGCCUUUCCCAUCUAAUCCCAUGGAAACAUAGAAAAUUGCAACUAAAAGCUGUUUAAAU